rnacentral:rRNA from 1 species
GACGAACGCUGGCGGCGUGCUUAACACAUGCAAGUCGAACGGAAAGGCCCUGCUUUUGUGGGGUGCUCGAGUGGCGAACGGGUGAGUAACACGUGAGUAACCUGCCCUUGACUUUGGGAUAACUUCAGGAAACUGGGGCUAAUACCGGCUAGGAGCUCCUGCUGCAUGGUGGGGGUUGGAAAGUUUCGGCGGUUUGGGAUGGACUCGCGGCUUAUCAGCCUGUUGGUGGGGUAGUGGCUUACCAAGGCUUUGACGGGUAGCCGGCCUGAGAGGGUGACCGGCCACAGUGGGACUGAGAUACGGCCAAGACGCCUACGGGAGGAAGCAGUGGGGAAUAGUGCACAAUGGGCGGAAUCCUGAUGCAGCAACGCCGCGUGCGGGAUGACGGCCUUCGGGUUGUAAACCGCGUGCGCCUGGGACGAAGCGUGAGUGACGGUAAUGGGUAAAGAAGCACCGGCUAACUACGUG